GUGUGUGUGUGUGUGUGUGUGUGUGUGUGUGUGUGUGUGUAUAUAUAUAUAUAUAUAUAUACACAUAUAUAUACAUAUACACACACAUACAUACAU